rnacentral:rRNA from 1 species
AGAGUUUGAUCCUGGCUCAGGAUGAACGCUAGCGGGAGGCUUAACACAUGCAAGUCGAGGGGCAGCACGAUGUAGCAAUACGUUGGUGGCGACCGGCGCACGAGUGAGUAACGCGUAUGCAACCUACCCUGUACAGGGGGAUAACCCGGAGAAAUUCGGACUAAUAUCCCAUAAAGAUAUUAAGAGGCAUCUUUUGAUAUUUAAAGCUCAGGCGGUACGGGAUGGGCAUGCGUAACAUUAGCUAGUUGGCAGGGUAAAGGCCUACCAAGGCAUUGAUGUUUAGGGGUCCUGAGAGGGUGAUCCCCCACACUGGUACUGAGACACGGACCAGACUCCUACGGGAGGCAGCAGUGAGGAAUAUUGGUCAAUGGGCGCAAGCCUGAACCAGCCAUCCCGCGUGAAGGAAGAAGGCGCUAUGCGUUGUAAACUUCUUUUCCAGGGGAAUAAAAUUUUGUACGUGUACGGAAUUGAAGGUACCCUGGGAAUAAGCAUCGGCUAACUCCGUGCCAGCAGCCGCGGUAAUACGGAGGAUGCGAGCGUUAUCCGGAUUUAUUGGGUUUAAAGGGUGCGUAGGCGGGACGAUAAGUCAGUGGUGAAAACCUGCAGCUUAACUGUAGACUUGCCAUUGAUACUGUUAUUCUUGAGUAUGGUCAAGGUAGGCGGAAUGUGUAAUGUAGCGGUGAAAUGCUUAGAUAUUACACAGAACACCGAUUGCGAAGGCAGCUUACUGGACCAUUACUGACGCUGAUGCACGAAAGCGUGGGGAUCGAACAGAAUUAGAUACCCUGGUAGUC